rnacentral:lncRNA from 1 species
AGCAGGUUUUAAGAAGAUUAAACACGCUAAGAAAAUUGUUUUAAAAUAACAAUGUAACAGGAUAUUGUAAAUUAUUUUGCAGCAGUCUGUCACACCACGUCACCGUAAUUCUUCAAUAUUUAAUUAAAAACCAAAACAACAUAAUAUUUAAAUCCUGUCAAGAAAACUAAUUGGAUACAGGGACCAGCUGCUGGAGAAGUUUGGAUGUCAACUUCAAAUGAUUUUAUGCAAAUUGCAGAAAGAACAGCGCUGCCAUCACCACCUCCACCGUUAAUAAAUCCCAACAUGGACUCCGCGCCUCCACCACCCAGCCCAUGGGGACAAGCUGCCACGCGUGAGCCCUGCUCUGUGCAAGUCAGAGCUGCCUGCUGCUGGGUUGGAAGGGGCCACCAGGGGCCAUUUCAUCACUUGCCCACUCACACUGCUGUAAAUUGCGUGUAACUGCAGGCUACACAUUGACACAGAGGUGGUGUCGGGGAGAACGGAGCUUGGCAACCUCAGGAAGAAUUAGAUAAGCUGCAAAGCAGAGGGGCGAUCAGGAGGUGAUGAAAGAAGCACAGUAGGAAAUUCUGAGCUGCAGAAUGUGACAGUUUUACAGAAGCCUUUUUCCUUUCCUUUUUUUUUUUUUUUUUAAUUUUUUUUUUUAAACUUUUUUUUUAAACUUUUUUUUUUUUUUUCCCAGAGAUUUUAUUUCCAGAGCUGGUGUGGUUUUAUGGAAUAGCUACAAAGAGAAAAGCUGGCCUGGCUUCUCCUGUUUCCACUGCGUGGCCCCCUCCUCGGAGGACUUACUUGUGAAUUACACUUACAGAAGUGAGAAGAGAUUCAAGCAGCGCAUUUACAGCUACACUGAGCAGGGAACAGGGGCCAGCAGCACCAGUCGGUGGUUUUGGCAUUGGGGCUGCUCCCGCAAAGCUGCAUUCCCUACUUUACUGUUGCAUGGCUGCAGAGCAGGGCCCAGCUCGUAACAUCUUCCCUUCUUCACAAAGUACUUAAAUAUGAUCUUUGCUUGCAACAACUUCAUUGAGGCAUUUAAAGCUAAGCAGAUGCUCCAGUGUUUUUCUGAGCCAGGUCCUUGGUUUGAUAGCAUUUUGUACAUGAGGUCAGAGUUAAUAAGCACCAGGCCCACUACAUGACAAAGUGAGAAUUACCCAUUUGCAGAGAUGUAGAAAUGUCAUUUAUAAUUCAGGUCUUUCAAGGGAAGGAUAAUUGUUCAAUUUUGCACUGCUGUAUGAGAGAAAACAAAAGCAGGUUAUGUGUUUGUGUGCUCUGCGCUUUUUGGCUUUAUGUAGUAUUGCUUUAUAAAUUACUCCAGGUUUUUGGGGGAUUGAAAUCCACCUGAUACCAUAAAACACUGCCUAUAAAGCAAUGCUGCGAUAGCCAUUGGCUUUUGUGGAAGUGCUAUUCUUGCUCCAGACUUUCUCCAUGGCCCUGGUCACGCUGU